CCUACGGGAGGCAGCAGUGGGGAAUAUUGGACAAUGGGGGCAACCCUGAUCCAGCCAUGCCGCGUGUGUGAAGAAGGCCCUCGGGUUGUAAAGCACUUUCAGUGAGGAAGAACGCCUGGUGGUUAAUACCCAUCAGGAAAGACAUCACUCACAGAAGAAGCACCGGCUAACUCCGUGCCAGCAGCCGCGGUAAUACGGAGGGUGCGAGCGUUAAUCGGAAUUACUGGGCGUAAAGCGCGCGUAGGUGGCUUGAUAAGCCGGUUGUGAAAGCCCCGGGCUCAACCUGGGAACGGCAUCCGGAACUGUCAAGCUAGAGUGCAGGAGAGGAAGGUAGAAUUCCCGGUGUAGCGGUGAAAUGCGUAGAGAUCGGGAGGAAUACCAGUGGCGAAGGCGGUCUUCUGGACUGACACUGACACUGAGGUGCGAAAGCGUGGGUAGCAAACAGGAUUAGAUACCCCAGUAGUC
rnacentral:rRNA from 1 species